AUGACGGGGGCCCGCACAAGCGGUGGAGCAUGUGGUUAAUUCGACGCAACGCGCAGAACCUACCAACCCCUGNACAUCCCGUUCGCGAUUUCCAGAGAUGGAUUUCUUCAGUUCGGCUGGACCGGAGACAGGUGUUGCAUGGCUGUCGUCAGCUCGUGUCGUGAGAUGUUGGGUUAAGUCCCGCAACGAGCGCAACCCUCGCCUUUAGUUGCCAUCAUUUAGUUGGGCACUCUAGAGGGACUGCCGGUGAUAAGCCGGAGGAAGGUGGGGAUGACGUCAAGUCCUCAUGGCCCUUACGGGUUGGGCUACACACGUGCUACAAUGGCGGCGACAAUGGGCAGCGAAGGGGCGACCCGGUGCAAAUCCCAAAAAGCCGUCUCAGUUCGGAUUGUACUCUGCAACUCGAGUGCAUGAAGGUGGAAUCGCUAGUAAUCGCGUAACAGCAUGACGCGGUGAAUACGUUCCCGGGCCUUGUACACACCGCCCGUCACACCAUGGGAGUUGGUUUUACCCGAAGCUGGUGCGCUAACCGCAAGGAGGCAGCCAACCACGGUAAGGUCAGCGACUGGGGUGAAGUCGUCACAAGCUAGCCCUAGGGGAACCUGGGGACUGGAUCACCUCCGUAAGUUGGAUUCCCGGGAAUCGAAUUCCCGCGC
rnacentral:rRNA from 1 species